AUGUGCAUGCAUGUGUGUACGGGUGUAGAUAUGUGGGUGUGUAGAUAUGUGUGGGUGUGCACAUGCAUGCACCCCUGCAGUGGAAGCUGUGUGCAGCUGCAUGAGUGUUAGUGACCAUCCUGUGGUUUGCUGAUAGCUGCCUAAUCUGAGUUGUGUGUUUCCUCCCUCCCCCAGCAGACACUCAGGGCGCUCCGUGAUGCCCCGGGACACUAAUAUUUUCACACCUGCAAUCUGUAUUGUUAUUUUCUCCUUCGGAGGGCAAUAUUGCCCUUCUGGGUGCUUAAGUAGGACACACAGGAUCAGAUAAUAUAAGAGGAGCCUGAAUGCUCAGGGCCAGAACAGAUGGUCCUGAACAAGGUCACAGGCCGUCUGGGGAGUGCAGGGCCAGGGCAACAUCAGCUCACUUCCUUCCAGCCGACUGCUCCCUUCACCGUGACCUUCCCUUCAACCUUCCCUUCAAUGCCUUUGUUUCCUGGCUGUAAAAUGGGCACGUUGCAUACAGCUGUGUAGGGAGUGUUUGCAAGUGCCCAGGCUCUGGGAAUUUGAGUAAAGGAGGCCCUUUGUUGGUGGCGCACACAGCCUCGGCUUUCUUCACCUUGUCAGUUGUCCACUCAGUUGGAGUAACUGUGAACACCCACUUACCCUUCACAUAUCCUAGGAUCAGGACUGUCCCUGCAGUGACCACGAAGCCUGGAGAGCCAGAUGGCUAUGGACCUCACAAGGGCCUGCCAGUUCCCAGGAAGGGGGUCUGGGCUGCCAGGACAGGGGGCAGCAGCAGGACUCAGCGAGAGGGUUGCCUCACAGUGAGCCCUGCCCAUCUCUAGUACGGUGGGAAGGUGGUUAAAACCCUGUCCUUAUCCUAUGCUCUGAGGUCUCCGGAAGACACAGGUGCUAUAUAUAAAACUAAGACUGUUAUCUCACUCUUGCUAAGUUUCCACCCUCGCGGCUUACUGUACACCACCGGGGAGAACAUUUCCUGAAGCCCUUCUCCCGGAGCUCUGGGGCCAGAGUGAGGGACGCCUUCUGAGAGAGAGAAAACCUUCCCCGCAGGGAGGCCUUUUGUAGAAGGGGGAGGAGAAUAAAGAUGUCCAGGCAAAUGCCCAGCCUCACCCUAGUGAGCUUCCCACUAGCUGAGCUGGGGACCAACAUGGUACCAGCCCACAGGGAAGCCCCUCCUCUUCCCCCUUUUGCCUUUUAACAUGGAGUCUCUGGGUCAGGGAUGGACGUGGUGGUGAGGGAUGCUAAGUAUGAGCAGACACCCUAGUGGGUUCAGCUCAAACUCCAGAGGGGAUGGGGAUGGGCAACACUCCUGAGGAACUUCUGUUCAGCACUGGUCAUCGCCAUGACAAAUGAUGGGAGGUCCAGGUUGGGAGGUUUCCAUUUAAGCAUUGGUUCCUUGCAAUUUCCCUGGGCAGUUUUUUCAAACAGCCCAUGAUUGUCAUUUUGGGUAGGCCGAUCCCCAUUGUUUGGGACUGUCCAGCACACUGAAGGACACUGAGCAUCUGGGCCCUGGAGAACUAUUUGCCAUUGUGCAACAUACACACCAUACACACACACACACACACACACUCUCUCUCUCUCUCUCUCUCUCUCUCUCUUUCAAAACACCCUCUAGGGCUGGAGGCAGGUACUGCAUCUGGUUAGGAACCACCGCAAGGAAUUACUUAUCUUGGCAACAUCUCAAGAGGACAUCGAACUGGAGUUAAAGGACUUUGGGGAGGUGGAUUAGGAAGGAGGUAGACGAUGUUAGGCUAAGAAAUGUCCUGUCAGCUUGGACAGGGUGUUGGCCUAAUUUUUUUAAGUGAAGAAGUUUCAUUUUUUUUGUCCUAUUUAUGAGCACCCAAUUGACGAGCACUCUCAGUUAAUUGGAGAAUCUUGUGCAUUUUGUUUGGUUUUGUUUUCACUUUUUCUUAAUAAGAGUGUCUUAAUAAGAUGUCUCUUAAUAAGCACUAUUACCUGUGGGGCCGGCUUCAUGAAUGCAGUUGCACAGGCCGCAUGCUCAGAAGGGCCCCGCUUUUGGGGUUGAAUGCCUGGCCGUUGCUGCCUUGAAAUUCGUGAUAAUUCUUUGAGUUGGUGUUUUGUAAGUGAAGUCCAGGAGGACAAUGAAGCAUGAAUUCCCUGGGCUCCAGCCCCACCUGGCUUCCUUCUCCCCACCCCUGGCAACUACUGACUCUUCUGGUCCCAUCAGGGGCCUGGGUGAAGGUUCAGGGAGGGACAGGGUUCGCGUCACUGGUGUCCCAAGGUAGAGUGUGCUGGCCAUCCCCACCCCAGGCUGGCAGGGCCAAAACGUAGGCAACUCCGUGAGAAUUCAGCUCACUCCGGAUCCAAAUACCGAGGGUGUCCCAGCACGGAGUGUGCAAUCACUUUGGGUCUGCCCAGGCAGGUGUGUGGAAAGAGGAGACCUCUCUGCUCCUGGCCUGGCCGCCGGGUAGAGGAACGCAGUAGACGGAGUGGCCAGAGUCAAGGGGCGGGCUCCCAGAGUCCUGUGAGACUCUGCACUCAUUAAAUCGCAAAUACGAAACACUGUAUCAAGUUGAGAGAAACCCUGCUGAAGAAAGGAAGGAAACAGUUUAUUUUAGUACCUUUUAUGGCACUUUUUUCCUGUUUUUUGAACAAGGGUGCUACAUUUUUACUUUGCACUGGACCCUGAAACUUAGGUAGCUGGCCCUACUUGCUUACUUCAUUGCUACCUGCAGUUUCUGUUUAUUUUCUGUCUCCCAGUUU